rnacentral:rRNA from 1 species
AGAACGAACGCUGGCGGCAGGCCUAACACAUGCAAGUCGAACGGAUCCUUCGGGAUUAGUGGCAGACGGGUGAGUAACGCGUGGGAAGCUACCUUGUGGUAGGGAACAACAGUUGGAAACGACUGCUAAUACCCUAUGAGCCCUAUGGGGGAAAGAUUUAUCGCCAUGAGAUGUGCCCGCGUUAGAUUAGCUAGUUGGUAAGGUAAUGGCUUACCAAGGCGACGAUCUAUAGCUGGUCUGAGAGGAUGAUCAGCCACACUGGGACUGAGACACGGCCCAGACUCCUACGGGAGGCAGCAGUGGGGAAUAUUGGACAAUGGGGGCAACCCUGAUCCAGCCAUGCCGCGUGAGUGAUGACGGCCUUAGGGUUGUAAAGCUCUUUCAGCAGUGAAGAUAAUGACAUUAACUGCAGAAGAAGCCCCGGCUAACUUCGUGCCAGCAGCCGCGGUAAUACGAAGGGGGCUAGCGUUGUUCGGAAUCACUGGGCGUAAAGCGUACGUAGGCGGACUGAUCAGUCAGGGGUGAAAUCCCGGGGCUCAACCCCGGAACUGCCUUUGAUACUGUCAGUCUUGAGAUCGAGAGAGGUGAGUGGAACUCCGAGUGUAGAGGUGAAAUUCGUAGAUAUUCGGAAGAACACCAGUGGCGAAGGCGGCUCACUGGCUCGAUA